UGACGAUGAGCACCUGGCCGCCGGUGUCACCGGCGUUGGGGCUGCCGUCGGCCAUGUUGUCCAGGCCGCCGAACUGUUCGAAGCCGGUGCCGUCCA
rnacentral:tRNA from 2 species